CGGGACGGGUGAGUAAUGUCUGGGAAACUGCCUGAUGGAGGGGGGUAACUACUGGAAACGGUAGCUAAUACCGCAUAACGUCGCAAGACCAAAGAGGGGGACCUUCGGGCCUCUUGCCAUCGGAUGUGCCCAGAUGGGAUUAGCUAGUAGGUGGGGUAGCGGCUCACCUAGGCGACGAUCCCUAGCUGGUCUGAGGGGAUGACCAGCCACACUGGAACUGAGACACGGUCCAG
rnacentral:rRNA from 1 species